GAUGCUAUGAAAAACCAUCAUUUACUUUCUGUGAUCGUUUUUCUCAAUAAUUUUUAGGGAUGUGCGUAAAAUAUAAAACUGCUUACAGUGCUAUAAAGGAAUUAUUUGAAAUAAAAAUUGUUAACUAUAAGUUUUUGGAUGUUUUAGGGGUGCAGAACCACAAAAUACUCCAAGAAAAGGGAGAAUUAAAGGAUUUUUUUAUAACACCGAAAGCAAAUUUCCCAAUUAAAGAGAAUUGGGAAAUCCCCUCCUUAUUUCUUUUUUUUUUCUUUUGAAGUUUAUUUCUGGUUGGUAGGAGGAUAUAAUCAAAUAGAAAAAAUAACCGAGAAGAUAUAGGAAAUCACUUCAAAUACCAUGAACAAAAAACUUAAAAAUCUCUUUAAAAGGUUCAAAAAUUCAAAAAAACGGAAUACUUGUUAACAAUUUGCUCCAGUCUACAAAAAAAUGAGUCAUUAUUGCCAUGAGGAGAUCUAUAUAAGCAGACUAUGUAAAUGUUAAUCUUCAAGUAAACAAUAAAACAUGUUUCGAAUUCCUUUUCAACAUUUAAAUCUAGAAAA